rnacentral:tRNA from 1 species
AACCUAGGCCGGGAAUCGAACCCGGGCCGCCCGCGUGGCAGGCGAGCAUUCUCGACAUUGAACUACCGAUGC